rnacentral:lncRNA from 1 species
GGAAGCGGCCCUCAGCCCUUGGCCCAGCUGUUCUAGGCCUGCUUUCAGGGAUCCAGGAAGAAAGUGACCAACCCAUGCAAACUUAGGGCAAAACUAACCAUAUUUAACAGUAGGCCAAAAUGCGAAUUUGAAACUCAUUCCGAAUGCCUUUCCAGGGAGGUGGCCACAGCUGAUGAAAGACCUCACGCUUGUUCCAACAGGCCCUGGGAGCUGAAUUGUAUCCCUGAAACUGGCCUAGCUUCCUUCAGCUCAACAGAGCAGCUGAAAGCCCUGGCAAAUCCUACUCAGAGAUUAAAAAGAAGAACUUCCAGCUGGGCAUGGUGGCUCACGCCUGUAAUCCCAGCACUCUGGG